CACGUAGGGGGCAAGCGUUGUCCGGAUUUAUUGGGCGUAAAGAGCUCGUAGGCGGUUCGGUAAGUUGGGUGUGAAACCUCCAGGCUCAACCUGGAGACGCCACCCGAUACUGCUGUGACUAGAGUCCGGUAGGGGAGCGUGGAAUUCCUGGUGUAGCGGUGAAAUGCGCAGAUAUCAGGAGGAACACCAGCGGCGAAGGCGGCGCUCUGGGCCGGAACUGACGCUGAGGCGCGAAAGCGUGGGGAGCAAACAAG
rnacentral:rRNA from 1 species